UACGUAGGGGGCAAGCGUUGUCCGGAAUCAUUGGGCGUAAAGAGCGUGUAGGCGGCCCGAUAAGUCCGCUGUGAAAGUCCAGGGCUCAACCCUGGAAUGCCGGUGGAUACUGUCGGGCUCGAAUCCGGAAGAGGUGAGUGGAAUUCCUGGUGUAGCGGUGAAAUGCGCAGAUAUCAGGAGGAACACCAAUGGCGAAGGCAGCUCGCUGGGACGUGACUGACGCUGAGGAGCGAAAGCGUGGGGAGCAACAGG
rnacentral:rRNA from 1 species